UGGGAAAAGGAAGGACAUUGCAGAGGGCAAAACCAGCAGGCGUGGAGCAUACCUGAUGAGAAGUUACUUCAGCGAGCAGAACUAGGAUGAAGAAGGAACAUUCCCCAACCCCAAAAUAGGGAAGACCUGGUAACAUUUGACGAGAGGAUUUCAAUGUGACUACUAUGUGCCUACAGUUCUUCACUAUUUCAGAAGGAAAAGUGAAUUGCAGUUACCCUGUUUCACCAUUGUACGUUGGGAAUAGUAAGGAGAUUCAUCUGUCUCUACCAAGAUCUAAGAAAAAUUUCUCUGGACGUUCCAUGGAAAAGACAUCCAAAAGGACAAGCAUUGGGGCAUGGGAAGUAGUCUCGAAUUCUCCACCUACAUAGAUAGUACCAUCUAGCAGCUAUCCACGUAAGUAAUUAUAUGUCUGAAAUCAACUGUUCACUUGGCUAGGAUUGCUGCUCAGUCAAGUGGCUAUUAGCAGAAAUGUGUUACCUGCUAUUGCUUCUACCGAAAAGGACAUCUUGAUUGGGGUGCCUGUGAGUUUCCUGAUUAA